rnacentral:rRNA from 1 species
UACGAAGGGGGCUAGCGUUGCUCGGAAUCACUGGGCGUAAAGCGCACGUAGGCGGGUUGUUAAGUCAGGGGUGAAAUCCUGGAGCUCAACUCCAGAACUGCCUUUGAUACUGGCAAUCUUUGAGUCCGGGAGAGGUGGGUGGAACUGCGAGUGUAGAGGUGAAAUUCGUAGAUAUUCGCAAGAACACCAGUGGCGAAGGCGGCUCACUGGCCCGGUACUGACGCUGAGGUGCGAAAGCGUGGGGAGCAAACAGG